rnacentral:rRNA from 1 species
UACGGAGGGUGCGAGCGUUGUUCGGAAUCACUGGGCGUAAAGCGCGUGUAGGCGGCUUCUUAAGUCUGGUGUGAAAGCCCGGGGCUUACCCCCGGAAGGGCACUGGAGACUGGGGAGCUAGAGUACCGGAGAGGAAGGUGGAAUUCCUGGUGUAGCGGUGAAAUGCGUAGAUAUCAGGAGGAACACCGGUGGCGAAGGCGGCCUUCUGGACGGAUACUGACGCUGAGACGCGAAAGCGUGGGGAGCAAACAGG